AAAUUGGGCGAUUAAAUUUAUAGGGUCGUUUUAAUAAAUCUUAUUAUUCACAGUCAAAUUUUAGCUAUUAAAUUAUCCUUUAAAAAAUAUAGGAAAAUCCAAUAAAUUGUAUCUGCCUCACUCAAUUGGUGAAAUGCAAAGGACAAUCCAUUAAUUAUUGAACUUAAUUGGGCUAUGAAAUUUAUAGGGUCAAUCUAAUAAAUCUUAUCAUUCAGUGUGUGAUAGAAGCUAACGAUAAGUCCAUUACGAAAUAUAGAAAAAUCCAAUGAAUUUUAGAAGCUCGUUAUACCUAAUAAAUCAUAUAUGAAAUUCCUAUACAUUUCAUCAUUUUGAAGUUAGAACACACGUUUGUUAAUUUGUUUGGGAAACAUAAACCCAGAAAAACGAUUGUUCGUGUUUUGUGCCAGUAGUAAUUUUUCGCCGGAGGAUUUUACCAGCUGAGUGGCAGCAAAGAUAACUUAAAUUUAAUCGCUGUGAUAUAAGCAAACAUUUACGAACGUAAAACACGGGUCUUAAAAUGAGGGGCAGCAGCGGAGGAAACAGAUUCGAACUUCAGCGAGAAUGCGCACGGUUCCAUUCUUCGCCAUGCACAGGAAACAUAAAUCCACCCGAACAAUAGCACCCAAUCCGCUGAAUCUGGAUUUAUGUACCAGCCAGGAUCAACAUGCAUCAGGCAUGAAACUGCGUCCCACCAUUCAUAACAAGUGGUUGAAGUGCAGUGCAGUGUAACUUUUUUAAUAUCUUGAUUUGUUAUAAUAAAUGUUUGAAUCAUAUAAUUUUGGUUAAAUUUGUUUAUUUGGAUAAAUAAGAUGAGAAAUAGAAAUUAAAUUACAGGCAUAUUUGAUUUCAAUG